AUUGUCAAGCUGGAGGGAGGGACGCGGGUCUGUCAUACUGAUAGAUUCUCUCACAUCCAGGAGAUCAAGGGAGGAGAGAUGGUGGAGACCCUGACAGUAGGAGGAACCACUAUGAUCAGGAGGAGCAAGAAGAUGUGAAGAGUUUGACCACCGCUGGCUAUUUAAAUAAAGCUCUGAUUUAUCAUA